rnacentral:rRNA from 1 species
GACGAACGCUGGCGGCGUGCUUAACACAUGCAAGUCGAACGGAAAGGCCCUGCUUUUGUGGGGUGCUCGAGUGGCGAACGGGUGAGUAACACGUGAGUAACCUGCCCUUGACUUUGGGAUAACUUCAGGAAACUGGGGCUAAUACCGGAUAGGAGCUCCUGCUGCAUGGUGGGGGUUGGAAAGUUUCGGCGGUUGGGGAUGGACUCGCGGCUUAUCAGCUUGUUGGUGGGGUAGUGGCUUACCAAGGCUUUGACGGGUAGCCGGCCUGAGAGGGUGACCGGCCACAUUGGGACUGAGAUACGGCCCAGACUCCUACGGGAGGCAGCAGUGGGGAAUAUUGCACAAUGGGCGGAAGCCUGAUGCAGCAACGCCGCGUGAGGGAUGACGGCCUUCGGGUUGUAAACCGCUUUCGCCUGUGACGAAGCGUGAGUGACGGUAAUGGGUAAAGAAGCACCGGCUAACUACGUG